AACAAACGCUGGCGGCGUGCCUAAUACAUGCAAGUCGAACGGGGAAAGCUUUCGGGCGAGUACUAGUGGCGCACGGGUGAGGAACACGUGGAUAAUCUGCCUUGGAGAGGGGGAUAACUAGUCGAAAGAUUAGCUAAUACCGCAUAAGACCACAGGAACUGAGGUUCUAGGGGUCAAAGGUUUUUCGCUCCAAGAUGAGUCCGCGUAAGAUUAGCUAGUUGGUGAGGUAAUGGCUCACCAAGGCGACGAUCUUUAACUGGUCUGGGAGGAUGAUCAGUCACACUGGAACUGGGACACGGCCCAGACUCCUACGGGAGGCAGCAGUAGGGAAUAUUGCACAAUGGAGGAAACUCUGAUGCAGCGACGUCGCGUGAGUGAUGAAGGCCUUCGGGUCGUAAAGCUCUGUCGCAGGGGAAUAAAAAAAUGAAGGUACCCUGCAAGAAAGGAUCGGCUAACUUCGUGCCAGCAGCCGCAGUAA
rnacentral:rRNA from 1 species